ACUGAGCUUCUGGGUUUUGUGCAACUACACAGACUGCUCUAUAUCACAGUCGUUGACAUUUGCUGUUGCCGUUGCAUAAUACAGAUAUUUUGU